rnacentral:rRNA from 1 species
GAUUAACGCUAGCGGCAGGCAUAAUACAUGCAAGUUGAACGGCAGCACAGGUAGCAAUACUGGGUGGCGAGUGGCGCACGGGUGCGUAACACGUAUGCAACCUACCCUAUACAGGCGAAUAACCUUUAGAAAUGAGGGCUAAUACGCCGUAGUAUUACAGAUGGGCAUCUAUUUGUACUUAAAGAUUUAUCGGUAUAGGAUGGGCAUGCGUCCCAUUAGUUAGUUGGUAAGGUAACGGCUUACCAAGACGAUGAUGGGUAGGGGAUCUGAGAGGACUUACCCCCACACUGGUACUGAGACACGGACCAGACUCCUACGGGAGGCAGCAGUAAGGAAUAUUGGGCAAUGGCCGCGAGGCUGACCCAGCCAUGCCGCGUGCAGGAAGACGGCCUUAUGGGUUGUAAACUGCUUUUAUACGGGAAUAAUAGAGUGUACGCGUACAUUUAUGCAAGUAUCGUAUGAAUAAGCAUCGGCUAACUCCGUG